UCGUGUGAAUGUUUAACAAGAUCAUUCUGUUUCUGGCGUUGGACCUUUAAAUAUUGAUGAGUGAAAGUGAAAGUUAGCUGCUGGCGUUGGGAGUUAGUAACAUUAAAGUAACCCUUUGUUUCCGGUAACCAAUGUGACAUACUGUAGAAUAAACAUCGAUAAUGAAGUUAUCACGGAACUAGAAUGAACCCCAGGAAGAGUAGCUGCUGCCUCUGCAAAAGCUAAUGGGGAUUCUAAUAAACAAAUAUGCUGACUCCAAAUCCAGGAAGGAUACGCAGUCAGAAAGAUACUUACAGGAGGCGCUCCUUAUCUGAUGACUAGACUGCUCUGGUAAAACUGUAGUUAACCUAGAGCAGUGGUCAACAACCUUUUCUGAGUCAAGGAAACUGCAGACACGGUGAUCUGAGCUAUCUGAUUGGACAGCGGUAGUCCUAUAGGUGCACUUGAUUUGCUCUUUGGGCCUGCCUGGUAGGUGGAGUUCUACCUUCUAGGGCUGCUGAAUCAAGUACACCUACCGCCAUCAGUGUGAAAUGAAGAAAAAAAAUAGGAAGGCAAGGCUUUAUCACAGUUUUUUUUACAGAAAUGUUUGGUGAUCGACUAGGAAUGCCUUGGAGAUUGACCAUUCGAUCGCGAUUGACCGGUUGGUGUAGAGGAGGCAGGCCAGCAACUGGAGGGUUGCUGGUUCGAAUCCCAUGUCUGUCAAGAAAGAUGUUUGGCUAGACAUUUUUUGCAUUUUAACAAUUUUCCUGCAAUUCUACACUUUAUUAAAGGUGCAAUAUACAGAAAUACCUAUUUCCUGGUUGCUAAAAUUCUAGUAGUUCACCUAAUUUCUGUUUGUGACUAAACAAGCAAUGGUUAGUGUAGAGAAUAAUCUAAACCACUGUGAAAUAUAUUUUUAUUAAACCAAAAACAUUGUGUUUUCAGAUGUUUGAAGCAAUGUUUGUCAGACCAUGAGACAUCCCAAAAAGUCUUCUCACAAAACCGUCAGUAGUCUGAAUGGUUUGGCCUACAAAUGAUUAGGACCCCUCUAUGGAAAGAUGAGACUCUCAUGAUCUCCGUUUUGCUUUGGGACGUCUUGGAUUGGUACAGCUGAUCUGCCAACCUCUGUCUAUAGAGUUUGAACAGUUUUGGCAACACACUAAUAUGAAAGGUGGAAAGGUGAGACCUCGGUGGAAAGGUGAGACUCUCACGAACACUUACAUGUUGGUUGAUUUGCUCUGCUCUAGGACGCUCACAAGACUCGUCUGAAGGUCCCCGGUACCAGAUUUUUAAAAAAUUAAUGGAAGUAUAUAUGGAGACUGUUUAGCGGCAAAAAAUUUUUACCAACCAGUUAUUACUGGAGUACAUGAAGAUAAGUGAGAUUUUCAGGGAAGGGGGCGUUAGAGGAGACACAUCAUACUCAUCGUCGCCAUCUCGAACACACAGGGUGCAAUCAAGCAGAUGACAUUUGUUAAGUCGGUGACCAUCACCAAAUCGAAGUGUGUUGCAUUAUGGGGAUCAAAAUGAUCUGACUUUCGCCUACAUGUCGACUGCAUUAACUUAAACGUUUUUGCAGUUACCCUUCACCAACUUCAUCCUGCUGCAAUAGCCUGCAUGGUGGGAGGCUCUAUUGUCAACCAAUCAUUAGUUGUUUUUUACUCACCCAAACGUGACCAAAGACAUGACUGAAACAGGAAGCAAUUUUGCUAUGAUUCAUACAGAUCUAUACAAAUUAAUGUUAUGUUUCAGGUACUCUCUCACUAAUUGAUUGUACACUCAUAUGAUUUAAGUUUGUGAGUGUGUGAUAUGGGGGUUGGAAACAUGUUUAUUUCCACAUUAUAAAGAAACUUUUUAUAAACAACGGCAACUCUUCCAUGUUGGUCUGAGCCUGGCUAGUGUCUGACUUUCGGCUUUUACAGUAGAUGUCACAUUGGAAUUAGCGACGUAGUGUGACUGGGUUCACUGUCUGUACAUUUACAUUUACAUUUAAAUCAUUUAGCAGACGCUCUUAUGUACCUUUUGGUCGGUCAGAUAUAUUAAUUGUGCUACUGUUUACUUACUGUAAGAGGAGCGAUAUUAGAGUAAUCGUUUUUUUGACUUUACAUUUUUUCUGUGAAUGUAAUAUUUUAUUCCUAAUUUAUUUCAGCUCAGUGGAAAGCUUCUUUAGAUCCCAUUUUUUAUUGUAAUUUCCUUAGUCAUGUGCUCCCUCUGCUGGUACAAAACGUGAUGUUGGUUCUCUGGGACCAGCAAUUGUGUAUGAUACUGACAGUACAUUUUACUUUUACUAUGGAGAACAUUGAGCAUUUUUUUUUUUUGAAUUGUACAUUUAGUACGCAGUAAAUUUCCAUGUGCCACUCCGGCCUCCCAGAUUGGCUCGCUUGUAGGCGUGCUUGCAGCAUAUAGCAAGCAGCAUGUUUGAUUGUGUGUCAAGAAUUCAGCAUAGCAAGUUUGCACGAAGGUCUAGUUAUUAAAUGGUAAAAUAGUUUCAUAAAUUUUCUGUUUAAUGUAUUUAUUCCCAGGUAAAUAGUAAUAUGCUCUAACCGCUCUGGUGACAAACACACUUUGGCAACCAGGCAAUCCUCCACAUGGCUGGAAGACCCUAUCUUCUCAAUAACAGUCUCUCUUCUUCACUUCAUACUCUCGGUUAUAUCAGCUGUGUCGGUAAACCCCUCCCGCAUCUGAACAGGCUACAUAGACGGCACAGCAUGAUCAGAGGUAUGUUUUGAUGUUAGAGAGGAUGCCAAUCCCAAGUACCGUCAUCACCACCUCCGCCGCUCUUAAGAGAACCUUCAGGCCAACUAGUGGCCCAAGGCUAGUUAGGAGAAACCACUAAAGACACUAUUAUGUAAUUGUGAUUAACUGCGAUAAUAUUCUCUAUUCACAUUCUCUACUGGCUGAAAUUAAGUCUCAUUUGAUUAAAUAGUACACUUAUCCUGUGUUUAUCAGAUCAAUGCAGAUGAAGGAAAUUAAAUAUUGAGAUGUACCUGUUUUAGAGUACUUACAUGAUGCAUAGGAAGUGUAGUGUAUUGUUUAAAAAAAGUAUAUUUCUGUAUUUACAAAUCCGCCUUUAACUAGUUAAAUCCUGUUUCUAGUCUAUUGCAUAGUUACAAUGUGUAACCAUUUGAUGUCCCGGUACCAAGAUUGGUAAACACUGUUUAAGUGUAUAAUUGUAAUACAAACAUGCAGACACAGCUAGCUACACAUCCGUAGGCAUACGUGUAUUUUUAUCCUCUACUGCACAAUAAGCAAGAAAACAGUUCGCUAUGUACGUUACUUCAUCUGCAUUACAUGGCAAAUAUUAGCAAGGAAAGCUUACAAAAUGUGUACAUUAAAUUUGCAGUAAAUGCUUUAGCUCGCUAGAUUCUUUACACCCACUGUUUCACAAGACGACCGCCUGGUUUACUGGUUGUUUCAGGAGUCCCUAAAACAUUAAACAACCAGUAUUACAAUUUCCUACUCAUGUCACAACACCCAUAAAGCUAGCCAGCUAGCUUGCUAAAUCACGAUUUUCGUAAAUUAACUCCAUGACAAAAGCAUAUGCAUAAUCGUUAGUCUCUACAUUAACUAACAUAUUCCUCUCAACUGUACAUGCAUGAUACGUUAUCACUUCCUAGUAUUUUUGCAAGACAUCUUUACUGAAGAAAGUCUCCAGCCUUGAGUUGCAUAGCGUCAUAUUCGUCAUGGAAACCACUCGAUAUGAUUGGUCAUCGCCCAGCGGUCGCCGCUGGUGAUUUGCGUCAAAGUUGGGGAA